UACGUAGGGGGCUAGCGUUGUCCGGAAUCAUUGGGCGUAAAGAGCGUGUAGGCGGUCCGGUAAGUCCGCUGUGAAAGUCGGGGGCUCAACCCUCGAAUGCCGGUGGAUACUGUCGGGCUAGAGUGCGGAAGAGGCGAGUGGAAUUCCUGGUGUAGCGGUGAAAUGCGUUGAUAUCGAUAGGAACUCCGGUGGCGAAGGCGGCAUACUGGACCG
rnacentral:rRNA from 1 species